rnacentral:lncRNA from 1 species
AUUGGAUUAGAACUCCGCUUGAAGGAGCAUCAACAUAUCUCUUUUGGCCGGAGAGGUCAAAUGGAGAAUUUAUUCCGAUUGAAUCAUGUUUCUGAUAUUGUAGAUGACAAACAAGAAAUUCCCCUUGAAAAGAGAGGCGACGGCUCACCUAAUCCAGCUCAUGAGAUAUGGUUAGAAAAGAAUUGGGCAGUAUUGGGAUGGAUUCAAUCUUCAGUUGGACCACCGAUGUUUUCAUUGGUAAUGAACCACAGUACGGUGUAUGAGUGUUGGAAGAAAUUAGAAUUGCAUUUAUCGCCAAGGAAGACAGUACCUCAACAAGCAAUUCGGGAUGAACUAAGAAUUUUAAAGAAAAGAGAAGAUGAAUCGAUUUAGGAUUUUAUAAUCAAAGUAACAUCUUUAACUGACUCUUUGGUAGCAGCCGGUGAAGUUGUCACUGACAAGACAAAAAUAGAUUUUGUCACAGAUGGACUGGGUGCGGAUUUUCGUCCUUUUGUUUCGGGUUUAUGUUCCCAACGAAAUCUACUUUACGACAAGUUUGUACAACUAGUCAUUCAAGAAGAUAAGUACAUUCACAGAAUGAAUUUGGCAAAUCCGGCAAACUCUGAUGUACCCGCUGCAUUUGCUGUAAAUUAUAAAAGAGGACAAAAUCGUCAGAACAGAAACAAAGAUCACUACAACAACAACAAUCGGCAAAAUUACAACAAUAAUAAUAGAGACAUAUCAAACUACAACAACAAAUCGAACAACAACAAAUGGCGUCGGUCAAUCAAUAGCAGCUAGUAGAAAUUAAUCAUAAAAAUUUAAAACAAAAUUGUAUACAUUGUCCUCUAAAUAAAAUGAAAAAGAAGCCAUUUAGUUGUAGGGAAGAAUAUAGUAAUAUAUCGUUGAAAAUACUUCAUAUGGACGUAUGGGGCCCAGCUCCAACUUCAUCAAUCAAUGGAGAUAAAUACUAUCUCUUAAUUAUUGAUGAAUUUUCUAGAUUUUGUUGGUUCUUUCUUCUGAAAAUAAAAGAUCAAGUAUUUGAAACUUUCAAAAGAUUUCAAAUAAUGAUAGAAAAAUUAUUAGAACACACUAUUAAAAUAAUACAAACAGAUAGACGUGGGGAAUUUUGCAAUCAGAAAUUUAAAUUUUUUUGUAAUGAAUUAGGAAUUUUUCAUAGAUUUUCUUCACCUUAUACUCCUGAACAGAAUGGUCUUAUAGAAAGAAGACAUGGCCAGAUAAUUGAACUGUCAGGUGUGUUUUUUCACAAUCUGAAGUACCUAAACAAUAUUGGGUAGAGGCAUGUUCAACUGCUAUCUAUUCAAUAAAUAGACUUCCUUCAAAACCAUUAGGUUUUAAAUCGCAUUUUUCUGCUCUAUAUAACAAAGACUCAGAUUUAAGUUACUUAAGAGUGUUUGGAUCAUUAUGCUUUCCGUUGAUACCUAAAAAAUUUAGAAAUAAAUUUGAACCAACAUCAAAUUAUUGUUGUUUUCUUGGAUACUCACCAGUGCAUAAAUCAUAUAAAUGUUUAAAACUUAAGGACUCAACAAUCAUCAUAUCUAGACAUGUUCAAUUCUAUGAAGAUGUUUAUCUAUUUAAAGAUUAUAAAAUAAACACUUCAAAGAAAGAAAUCACGAUGAAAGAAAUUUUACAUUUACCUAUAUCAGGUAAUAGAGAUAUAGUUAUAGAACCAAAUACUCAAGCUCCUACCAGUCAACAUACAUAUCAUGAUAGUAAUUAACAACAUAGUUGAUGAGAACACACAGACUGAAAAAAGUGUCAAUUUUGGAAACAAUAUUUCCAAACAACAAACAAUUUCAAGUAAUUUACCAAACAGUACUUCUACAACAUCUGAAUAAAAUAAUACAGAAGAGGUAUCUUCUGAAAACACAGUAGAAGUAGCACUUGAAAACACAGAUUUUGUUGAAACAAGUCAGUCGGUUCCCGUCUCAAUUGUAAGAGAAUUUCAAAAUCACACAGAAGAGUUAAGGAGAACUCAAAGGUCUAUAACAUUGCCAAAGAAAUACAACAUUUAUGAAGUAAACUUACCCAAAACAUUGAUUGCUGAGGUAAUUGAAAACAACACCUUGACUCUUAAAAAUUUCAAAGAUGCCAUAAAAAUACCUCACUGGAAACAAGUUAUGGAUGAAGAAUACAUGGCGUUAAUAAAAAAUAAUACUUGGAAUCUAGUUCCAUCAGAUAAGAAAGUUAAUUUAAUAGGAAUCAAGUGGGUAUUCAUAAUUAAAAAGAAAGCUGAUGGAAGUUUAGAAAGAUACAAAGCCAGAUUAGUGGCGCAAGGUUUUAAACAAACUAUAGAGCCUUAGUUGGAUCUUUGCAAUAUUUAACUCAAACAAGACCAGAUCUGGUUUAUGCAAUAAAUCAAAUUGCUCAGUUUGUUCAUGAAUCUAGUUGGAAUCUAGUUCCAUCAGAUAAGAAAGUUAAUUUAAUAGGAAUCAAGUGGGUAUUCAAAAUUAAAAAGAAAGUUGAUGGAAGUUUAGAAAGAUACAAAGCCAGAUUAGUGGCGCAAGGUUUUAAACAAACUAUAGAUAUUACAAACUAUAGAGCCUUAGUUGGAUCUUUGCAAUAUUUAACUCAAACAAGACCAGAUCUGGUUUAUGCAAUAAAUCAAGUUGCUCAGUUUGUUCAUGAGCCUAGAACAGGACACUUAGCAGUAGCUAAGAGAAUUCUGAGAUAUAUCAAAGAAACACUUAGUAAUGGUCAGCAUUUCACCAAAAUAUUUAAAAAGAAUAUGAUUUUUGGGUACUGUGAUGCUGAUUUUGCAGGAGACCCAGACUCUAGAAAAUCAACAACAAGUUUAUGUGUCUUUAUUGAAGGGAACUUGGUAACAUGGAUAUCUAAAAAACAAGAUACUGUAUCCAGAUCCAGUGCAGAAGCAGAAUAUAGAGCAUUAGCAACUCUAGCUGCAGAAAUUAGAUAAACAACAUUUAUCUGCAGAGACUUAUGCUUUCCCAUACAUCAUGUACCACAAUUAUUUUGUGAUAACAAAUCGGCAAUUUUUACGGCUAAACAUCCAGUAAUUAAACAAAAAUCAAAACACAUAGAAAUGGACAUUCAUUUUUUUAGGGAAUUAAUAUCCAAAAAUCAAUUAAAAGUUGAUCAUGUAUGUUCCGAAAACCAAUUGGCAGAUGUCUUCACUAAGGCAGUGUCACAGAAUACUUAUAUUAAUCUUUGCAGGCUGCUAAAAUUGAAAUUUCAUUUAUGAAGGUAAGUAUGAUUAAUUGUAUAUGUUUUAUAACCUAACUUGGUGUAUUUUUUUUCUUGUGUAAAUUUUUUUCCAGAUGAUUAAAAACUGGAUGAAUCACAAGUCAAGAUCUGAAAUUGCAAUAAGUUCUACAUUUUUGGUAGAAUACAAAAUAGUUAGCAACAACAGGAUGCUUUUUUUCUCUCUCUCUCUUCAAUUACGAUAAGGAAUGACUGUGAAUAAUGAUGAGAAUAACAGGUGGACAGAUAAAUAGGACAAAGGUUUUCCCAGAAAUAAAAGAAAACAUGCAAAAGAAUUAAGAGGCACACUGACUUUUUAAUCCAUGUUCUACAGUUCUAAUUGGGGUAGUUAAAUUCUUGCGACAAUAAAAGUGUAUUUGAUAUUUUGUGAAUGGUUAAUCUUUUGGAUUGUUAAUCAGUGUUAAGCUUUCUGAGAAUAGACAAAGUUCUUACGGUCUGGACCUGCCCUAGCGUAAUGGUCAGCAUGACAACAAAUUUGGCAUACACCAUUUGGAGUAAGAGAUGGAGGUAUUGGAAGAAUGGGAAGACAGCGAUUUAUUGAGAUAGAAACGACAGUGAAUGAAGGUGCAGAAGGAACUACAGUAGAAGCAGAUGAGACAAAAGUCGAUAUAGAUGAUGCAUUCUUUUUAGACUUAUUUUUUUAGUUCUUUGAUUUGCUGGAGGAUCAUAUAUUCCUUGCUACUGUAAAAGAUAGUUGGUGGCUCGGAAUCAUUUGUGUGAGCAAGUAAAUCAUCCUCUGUUAGUAAUAGAAUGUGAAGUUCAUCAAAGAUUACCUGAGAGGAACGCAAUGACAAUACCGUGAGAAAGGAUUUGUACGAUGACUGAAGACCAUGUAGGAUAUAAUUAACUAGGUUUUGAUCUGGUGCCGGCGGUGGCAAGAUCGUCGACCGUAUUCUUCAUGGUCAUAAGAAAUUCUUCCAUCGUCGUCAGUGGCGUAUCUAGGAUUCUCCGGCAGGGGGUAAGAUUCGCCGGAGUUGAAAAAAUAAUUUAAAAAUAAAAUUUUGGUCUGACCUAUUCAUAAAAUCGAUUAUAAAAACCUAUAAAAAUUCAAUACAUUGAUUUCAUAAUUAAUAUUUAAUACAUUAAUUAAUAAUCAAAUUAAAAAUAAAUACAUUUAUUCAAUUAACAAUAUUAAAAAUUUCAAAUACAUUUUACAUUACUUCAAUUAAGGGUGAGAACGAGCGAAGGGAGGGGUAAAAUAUAUUUUAUUUUAUAUAUAUAUAAUUUAUAUAAUAACCCCUAAAAAUAUUAAUAUAUAUUGUGAAAAUUACAUUUAACUCCCUAUAUAAUUUAUAAUUACAUAUAGGUCAUCAAUAUUUUUCCAACUUUUAGGGGGGCAAUUGCCCUCCUUUGCCCCCUGGAUACGCCUCUAAUUUCGUCGUGCCAUCCAUGUGUUUCGUUGUUCGCAAAUUAUGCUAAGGGAUUUGAUAUGGAUAUGGAAUAUGGGAGUGAGAUAUUUGUCCAGUCGAUUCAAAGCUUCCCUAGCUGUAACAAACGAGGUGAUCGACGUUUGAACAGUUGAGGAGACUAUGGAAUUUAUCCACAUGAUGACCAAUUGGUCAAUAGCUCCAAUCUUCGUAACUUGGAUUUGGUUCAUCAUCGAGAAGCAAGGGAGUUACCUCUGGUUCAAACACGAUAAACACUACAGAAAAACAGCGUAGUUCUUGCGGCAAAUACUGGCGACCAGGCCGCCGGUAUUAGGUGUCCUGGCGGCCCGGCCGCUGGUAUGUCAUCGCCAGAAAUGAUGUUGCUAGAUAUGUAUUAUCCUGACGGCCAGGACGCCGGCAAUAUAUUUUUGAUUCUGAUUAUUAAUGUCAUAAGAUUGGUGGCUUAGUCGUUGGUACGAAAUUUUUUUAAACUAUUUGCUGGCGGCCUGGCCGCUGGUAUGAAAAAAAAAUAAAAAUUUUCUGGCGGCCUAGCUGCUGGUAUGAAUUUCGCGACUACAUUAUAUUAAUUAUUUAUUUAAUUAAUAAUUAAUUACUAAACAAUUAUUUAAAAAUUAACUAACAAUCACACUAAGAAAAAUCUGAUUGUUAUUUUUUUAAAUUUAAUUACUAAUUAUUUAUUAAUUAAAUAAAUAAAUAAAUUUAUUUAUUUAUUUAUUUAAAUUUAUUUUAAAUAAAAAAAUUUAAAAUAAAAAAAUUUAUUUUAAAUAAUUAAAUAAUUAUUAAUUAAUUAAAUAAAUAAAUAAUUUUUUAAAUUUCAUUUCUAAAUAAUUGUUUAAUAAAUUGGACUUUAAAUAGUUCUUUUAAAAAAAAACUGAAUUUCCAAUAUUAGAUUAAUUAUUUAUUAAUUUAUAAUUAAUUAAUUAUAAAUUAAUAAAAACAAUUAUUUAAAAACUAACAAUCACAUUUAGAAAAUCUGAUUGUACUUUUUAUAAAUUUAAUUAAUAAUUAUUUAAUAUUAAUUAAAUAAAUAAAUAAUUAUUAAUCAAAUAAAUAAUUUUUUAAUUUUAAUUAAUAAUUAAACUAUUAUUAUUAUUUAUUUAAAAUUUGAAUUAAUUUUAACUCAUGCAUUCUUUUUAUUAUUUUCCAAUUUCAAAAUAUAAAAAAAUAUCUAAAUUUAUCAAUUCAUUUUAUUAUCAUUCAUUUCUUGGCAUUUCAUUAUAUGGUAUGGAAUUUCAUGACAUUUCAAUCUAAAAAUAUACAAAUUAAUAACAUGCAUUUCAUUUUCCAAUGUCUAACAUACAAAUUAUAUUAACUAAUUAAUAACUAUCAUAGGAUAUAGUUUCAAAAAAAUCAAAACAUUACAUUGAUAUAUCCACUAAUAUCUUUAGAUAUAUUCGCAAAUGCUAAAUUCUAAAAAUCGCAAAUCCUACAACAAAUAUCAACACAUAUAACACAUAAAAUAUCAACACACAUGUAUAUAACAUAUAACACGUAGAACACAUCAAGACAUAACAUACAUGUAAAACAUAACAUAUAUAACACAUAAAUUCAAAACACAUAACACAUAAAUUUAAAACAUAUAACAUGUACAUAACACAUAUCAACACACAAACCUUCUGUUGGUACCAUGGACCGCGGCCCAUGGACCAAACCGGCCCCGUCGGCGGCCCUGGCGAACGGACGGGCUCGACGCGCGAGUCCACGAGGCCCAAGGACUGGGACGGAGGACUAUAAAUACCUCCCCUGGUCCAACAGGGGAGGGGGUUGACAAAUCUAGGAACAGACAGUUGAGAGAGUUGAGGGUGUGAGCUGCCAUCGGCGAGCCCACACACCAACAGUGGUGAACCUGACGUGAACCGAACACACGACAGCCGGAGAAGAGGAGGAUGACGAGAAGCGAAUACCAAGUGGGGGAGUGCUCAAAGCGACCCGAGCGGGCAGCAGUGGAGUACCAGCCGGCGCAACACCACUCCCGCGACCGGUACUCGGAGGAGGUAAGGGCCAAUGAGGAAUGGGGCGCCGAGGAGGAGAGGCUACGUAUGGAGCUCGAGGAGAUCAGGUACGGGUGGGAGUCGCCCAGAAGGAGCCGGCGCAGCGAACCAGCGUCCCCACCCAGGGUCAGGAGAACGCGGUCGCGGUCGCGGUCCCGGGAGAGAAGGGAAAGGGAGCACGAGAGGCUCCGGCGAAGGGAGAUCGCGGAGGAGAGAGAGCGCGCGGAAAGAGAGAGUAAGUGGGAAAGGAUGCAGCUCGUGAAACUGAUAUCCACCCUACAGGAGAGCCAGUGUCAACUACAGGAGCAGGUACACCAGCUCACAGUGACCCCCCACACCCUGGAAUCGGACGGGGGCGGAGGAGGAGACCCCAUGUACGGGCCGUCCGCCCCCUGGACGGGAGACCCGGGAGCGACGCCCCACCCAUGGAGGCCCCGCGAGCCAUUGCGGCACUGGCGCCAGGGGGGCAGCGGAGAGGCCCUAGCGCAGCACCUGCUGGACGAGGAGUACCCGCUAGGUUGGAGGGCCCCGAAGAUCCCUUAUUACAAGGGCGACACAGACCCGGAGGACCACCUGCACUCUUUCAAGACCAACAUGGAGGACAGGACGAACAGGAAGGACGUCUGGUGUCAAAUGUUCCGCAGGGCCCUGACAGGCGACGCGAUAGCCUGGUACAGGACGCUGCCGACAGGGUCCGUGCACACCUACGAAGGCUUAGNNNNNNNNNNNNNNNNNNNNNNNNNNNNNNNNNNNNNNNNNNNNNNNNNNNNNNNNNNNNNNNNNNNNNNNNNNNNNNNNNNNNNNNNNNNNNNNNNNNNNNNNNUGGACCGGUUCGCGAGCGAGGUGCAGAAGAUUGAAGGGUUCUCAGAAGAGGUGGUGUUGUACGCCCUAACGAACAGCCUCCGACCCACGUUCUUCGCGGGAGAUUUAGUAAGGAAGCCGCCGAAAACCUUCGCCGAGGCCAUGGAGAGAUCCCACGGAGAGAGCAACGUGGAGGACUACCUAGGCGCGAAGAUCCAGGAGUACAGGCGGCAGCAGAGGGGGAAGGGCGCCCCAGCAAACACGGGGGGGGGCAGCAGCAGAGCCAACCUCAGCCCCAACAACUGCAAGUCAAGCCCCCAGCGGCACCACAGGCGCCUGCGUACAGAACCGGCACCCCGGCAGCAGCGGGGCGGAGGGAAGUAGGCCCCGCCCCGGCAGCAAACCAAAGGCAGGUUUUCCUCACGUUGAGCGGAACAGGAACCCUACCCCCGCCAAGGCCAAUGAGGAAAGACACGGCGGCGUUCAGGGACACCCGUCGGUUUUGCGAGUACCACGAGGACAACGGCCACACGACGGCUGAAUGCCUGAACCUAGCAAAGGUCCUCAACAAAAUGAAACCCGCAAACGGAGCCCCCCCCGGCCCCGACGACAAGCCGUCCGACGGUAAUACCCACGGGACACCAAGUGCCGAAGCAGGAGCCGGCGGACGAAGUAAUAGGGGACAUCCUCACCAUCGCGGGGGGAGGAGCCUCGAGGGGCGACGAUCCAUGGGAGGGACGGCGGUACGCGUCCGACGUGGACCGGACAACAGGGGUCAAGCGCCCGCGAAUAAACUUGGAAAUCUCGUUCACGGAGGACGACAUGAAGGACAUCACCCCACCCCACGACGAUCUCCUAGUCAUAACCCCCAUCUUCCAAAGGGGAGACAAGUCCAGCGUACGACUACACAGGGUCCUGGUGGACACGGGGGCGUCGGUGGACAUACUGUACUGGAAUGCUUUCAUCGACCUCGGCCUGGCCCGCGCGGACCUACUCCCAUGCCGGGCUCCCAUCAGAGGAUUCGGACAGUCAGAAGUUCCAGUAGCGGGAACAUUUUCCAUCCCGGUCACCCUGGGACGGCAUGCCCAAGCAAGGACGGUCGUUGUCAUGUUCACGGUCGUGAACUUCACAUCCGGAUAUAACGCCAUCCUGGGAAGGACAGCGCUGCACGCUUUCCAUGCAGUAAUGUCGUCGCUCCACCAGUGCCUCAAGUUCCCAACCGAUGGAGGGGUUUGCACGGUCCGGGGGUCCCAGAAAAAGGCGCGCGAGUGCUACUUCAAUUCGGUCGGCGAAGUAAUGACGUCGGGCGAAGGCCUACCCCACUCGAUGCGGGAACACAUUGCAAGACCCUAGCCAGCAUCCCACACGACCCAAGUGGCCCUUGGUCAGAACGAGGUGCGAAUGGGAAGGAACCUCCCGCAGAAUAUCAGGGAGGGGUUAGAGCAACUCCUGAGGAAGAACGGGGACCUGUUUGCUAGCGAGUUGGGGGAGUUGAGCGGUGUGCCUAGGACGCUGGCGGAGCACAAACUAGCGGUAGCCCCGGGCGCCCACCCUGUCAGGCAAAAAUUACGCCCGCUAAGGGCGGAAAAGAGGGAGGCGUCCGGGCCCAGUACGCUACCCCGCCUGGCUGUCCAACGUGGUGAUGGUAAGGAAAGCAGAUUCGGGAUGGAGGAUAUGCGUCGACUUCACCAACCUGAACAAAACUUGCCCCAAGGACAGCUACCCGCUGCCGUCGUUGGACCGGCUGGAGGACCAGAGCUCCGGGUGCGGGAUGCUGAGCUUCAUGGACGUACACUCGAGGUACAACCAAGUGCCCAUGGCACGGGAAGACGAGGAGAAGACAUCGUUCAUCACAGAGAUGGGCACAUUUUGCUUCAGAGUAAUGCCGUUCGGCCUGCGCAACGCCGGGGCGACGUUCCAGAGGCUAAUGGAUAAGAUAUUCAAGGCGCAGAUAGGUAGGAACGCGGAGGUAUACGUGGAAGACAUACUCGUUCGGUCGAAGGAGGCCGAAACGCACUUGGCCGAUUUAGAAGAGACCUUCGCCAACAUCUGAAAGGCAGGGCUUAAGCUAAAAGCCAAGAAGUGCGCGUUCGGAGUCAAGGAGGGGCAUUUCUUGGGUUUCCGAAUCACACCCGAAGGAAUCAAGCCAAAAGAAGAAAAGGUUGAGGCCGUGAUGGCUAUGAACCCCCCACGGAUGCUGAAGGAAGUCCAGAAGCUAAAUGGAAGGGUGGCGGCACUGAGCAGAUUUAUGCCGAGAACGGCAGACCGUUUCAAGCCUUUCUUCCAACUGUUAAGGAACCCAGGACCCAGGGUGGUGUGGUCAGACGAAUGCGAGACGGCGUUCAGAGAGCUCAAGCUCCAGCUUUCGAACCUGCCAACACUCCGCCCCCCAACAAGGGGAGAACCACUCAUCAUGUACGUAGCAUGCUCAGAUGCGGCCGUCAGCGCAGUCCUGAUCUCGAAAGCGGGAGGCACACAAAGGCCAGUAUACUACCAUUCUCGGUCAUUAAUAGGAGCGAAGGAGAGAUGCCCAGAACUCGAGAAACUAGCCCUGGUGGUGGUCUCGGCAGUCCGAAGGCUAAAACCAUACUUUCACGCCCACACGGUCACGAUCCCAACAGCUCUUCUUGUAAUAUACUGAAUCAAAGGAGAGACUGAUGUCUUUAAUGACCUCCUUAAGGAUUACCUCAGGAGGCCUACUAAUGUGCUGCUUAUACCUUUUAUUUCUUUCCGUCCAUAUAUGCCACGACAAGCACCCAAUAGCAUUCCAUAUUAACCCCCAAGGGGGGGAGUGGCACGUAAUCUUUUGUGCUGCCUCCGUCAGAUCCUCCAAUCUAAUAUCUGGACUGGAUUGGGUGGGAACUGGAAUAUUCAUUAUUUUCCAGAAAGCGAAAUCCAGUUGUUCCGCCAACGAAAUUAAGAGAGAUCUGGAAUAAGAACAGUUAAAGAAAAGAUGACUCCUACUUUCAUCUUCCAGAUUACAUAGCAAGCAAGCAGGAGGUACUUGUACUCUCCAACUUCUUAAUUUCCUGAACGUGUUUAGAUGAUCCCAUUUCACCCUCCACAAGAGAAUAGAGAAUUUUGUCGGCAUCUUCGACCAAAUUCCCUCAGCUAACAUGUCUUUAUGCUUUCUAUCUCUAAUACUUUCCACUAUUCCCCCCAAUUUAUUUAUCGGAAUACCAGAUCUCCACAUAAACAUACUAUUCGCUCUACAAUCCAAACAUUUAUCCACUAGGCUUCUUUCUGAAACAAAUGUUUUCCAAAAAUGCGAAUCCACAGUAGGUCUGAUUUGUAUAUCAUUAAACGCCUUUCCUUUAAUAUACCUAUCUUGGAUCCAUUUUACCAGAAUAGAAUCGCUCUUAUCCCAGUACUUAGAAGCUCUUUUAAUAUUGGUUGCAGUGGUGAUAAUAGGAAGGUCUCUAACCCCUAGACCCCCUUCCAACUUGGGAAGGAUCAUUUGGGCCCACGGGAUCCCUUUCCUUCCGUCCCAUAUAAAUCUAUAAGCUAACCUUCUCACCUUCUUAGCCACAGAAUUAGGGAUAGCCAUACCUUGCGCCCAAUAAGUAUACUUUCCAACUAUUAUCCAGUUAACUAAUUGUAUUCUCCCUCCACAGGAAAGACAUUUCCCACUCCAUCUUGCUAGGAGCGCCUCUAUAGACUGGAUUAGCUUCCAGCACUGUCCAAAUGACUUUUUCUUUCCCGUAAUUGGUAACCCUAGAUAUGUUAUAGGUAGACUUUUAACAGUAUAUCCUAAGAUAUUAUGUAAAGAUUGAUUUUCUGCACAUACUUUUGAGAAGGUGGAGAAACUCUUGCUCACAUUUACUUCCAAUUCCGAGAACAAUGAGAAUUUCUCAAGUACCGUUUUAAUUGCAUUAAGCGAUUUCAGGUUUGCCUUUGAAAAUAUGAGGAUAUCAUCCGCAUACAUGAGGUGAGAUAUAGAAGUAGCACCAUUCACCUGAUAAGUGUCUAUUCUUUUGUUCUUUACUCCAUUCUGUAUCAAUCUACUUAGAACAUCCAUAACCAUAUCAAAUAGAAUAGGAGAUAGAGGAUCACCCUGUCUAAUCCCCCUCUGGCUUUUGAAGGGAGGCGUUGGAGUCCCUUCCACCAGCACCGAAAAAGAUGCAGAGGAUAUGCAAUUCCAAAUCAUUUUGCAGAACAUAUGAAAAAAUCCAUACGCUUCAAGGGUGACAAUUAUAGCCUCCCAACUGACUGUGUCAAAUGCUUUCUUAAGAUCUAUACUUAAACAACACCUCUUGGGAGUUCUCUUUCUUCCAAAACCAUGUACCAUUUCAUCCGCUAGAAUGGUAUUAUCCGAGAUGAGCCUUCCUUGAAUGAAAGCUGCUUGGUUUGGAGAGAUGAGUUCACUAGAGACCUUACUGAUCCUAUCUGCUGAUAUUUUUGUCAUUAGCUUGUAGAUCAAAUUGACACAUGAUAUCGGCCUGAAAUCCGACAUAUCUGAGGCCGUGUUUGUUUUGGGCACAAGCAUGAUGAAAGUAUGGUUAGCAAACUUCAACAAAGGUUUGCCUUUAAAGAAUUGUCUUACACACUCCAUUACUAGGCCUUUAAGAUCUCCCCAAAAAUUUUUGAAAAAUUCCGAGGUGAAACCAUCCGGCCAAGGGGAUUUCCCCGAAUUAAAGGAGAACAGUGUGGCCCUUACCUCUUCCUCUAAUGGAGCCUGAAGCAGCCACCUAUUCAUAGUUUCAGAAACCACUCUAGGAAAAAUGACAGGAACCGCCGGCCGUUGGGUGGUUGAAUUACUGAACAAAGUUUUAAAGUACCUAACACUAUUCUCCUCUAAUAGAACCCUAGAGGUGGUUUGAAUUCCAUUUGUAUUGAGAAUUUUAGAGGUUGAAUUUGUAGACCUCCUCAUGUUAGUUCCUCAUGUUAGUUCCUCAUGUUAGUUCCUCAUGUUAGUUCCAUUAAAGUUAGUUCCUCAUGUUAUAGUACCAUUUAAAGUGUCUACGGGCAGUGGAAAAUUGAUCUGUGAGGCUGUUUGCAAAGUGGUAGAGAUUAAAAUUCAGAACACAAUUGUAAAAAUGGACAUUUUUCUACUUCAGAUGGCAGGAGCCAAUGUGGUGAUUGGGAUUCAAGGACCGAAAUCCUUAGGACCAGUUACUUUUAAUUUUGAUGAUUUGAAUAUGUCUUUCCAAAAAGAAGAGAAAAAGAUUAUUUGGCAGGGAUGUCGAUGGGUUUCUGAAGACCCCCUAUAUGUGGGUCAGUUAAAGUGUCUUAUUGCUUCAACACAAGAGGCUUACUUAUGUUAUAUGGAAAGGAUAGAAGAAAAUGAGAAAGUUCCCAUUUUGAAUUCUAAUAGCCAAGAGGUAACUGAAAUCGUACAACAGUACACUGAUAUUUUUGACACACCAACAGGGUUACCACCACAAAGGGAUAGAGACCACUUUAUACAUCUUGAGAACAAUGCCAACCCUAUCAAUGUGAGACCUUAUAAGUACCCACAAUUUCAGAAAUCAGAUAUUGAAAGGUUAGUUGCUGAACUGAUGACUCAAAAAAUUAUCAAGCCCAGCACUAGUCCCUACUCAUCCCCAGUACUGCUAGUAAAAAAGAAAGAUGGGAGUUACAGAUUAUGUGUGGAUUAUAGAGCAUUGAAUGCCCUAACUAUCAAAGAUAAGUUUCCCAUCCCUAAUGUGGAUGAACUCCUUGGAGAACUUAAAGGAUCUAAUUUUUUUUCAAAAUUAGAUUUAAGAUCGGGUUUCCACCAGAUUAGAGUCCACCCCCCUCAUACUGAAAGGACAGCAUUCAGAACUCAUCAGGGGCAUUUCGAAUUCUUAGUGAUGCCAUUUGGGCUCACAAAUGCACCAACAACAUUUCAAUCGAUUAUGAAUUCAGUUUUUGCUAAAUAUUUGAGAAAAUUUGUCAUCAUAUUUUUUGAUGAUAUUUUGGUGUUUAGUUCUUCUCUACAAGACCAUCUAUCACAUUUGCAGAAGGUCUUUGAAACACUAAGGGAAAACAAAUUAUUAGCCAAGCUCUCCAAGUGUUCAUUUGGGCAAGAUUCUAUGGGUUUGUUGGGGCAUAUCAUAAAGGAAGAUGGGGUGCAUCCUGAUCCUGAAAAGAUAACAGCAAUGGUAGAGUGGGCUGUCCCAAAAAAUCUUAAAAUGUUAAGAGGAUUCUUAGGACUAACCGGGUACUAUAGGAGAUUUAUUAAAAGCUAUGCCCAGAUAGCUGCCCCUAUGACAGAUUUAUUGAAGAAAGACUCCUUUAAAUGGAGUGACUUAGCCCAAAAUAGUUUUGAGAAACUAAAGUCAGCCAUGGUGUCAGCUCCAGUAUUGGGAUACCCUGGUUUCAGUCAACAAUUCACUGUGGAAACAGAUGCUUGCAACACUGGUGUUGGAGCAGUGCUAAUUCAGAACAAACACCCUAUAUCAUUUUUCAGUAAAAAAAUUGCUGGAAAACUCAGUUCAGCAGCAAUUUAUGUCAAAGAAAUGUAUGCGAUAACACAGGCAGUAGCUAAGUGGAGGCACUACUUACUGGGAUCACACUUCAUAAUCAAAACAGACCAUAGAAGUUUGAAAAAUCUUCUAACUCAAAUUAUUCAGACCCCAGAACAGCAAGUGUUCUUGGUUAAAUUAUUAGGGUACGAUUUCAGCAUUAUAUUCAAGUCCGGGAAGGAAAAUAUUGUUGCUGAUGCUCUGUCCAGAUCAUAUGAAGAAAGGGAGAAUGAAGAAAUAAUAUUUUCUAGCAAAUCUGAAGGUGAGCCUGGAUCAUUUUUAUCUUUUUCUAUAAUAGUAAACUCUCUAGUGGAAGAAAUAAAGAAAGAAAAUGAGGGAGACCCCAAAAUACAAGACAUUAUACAUAACUCCUUAGAAGAGGGCCAAAAUUUCAAUGGGUUUCAAUUUAAAUCAGGAAUUCUAUUUUUCAAGGGCAGAUAUUAUUUAAAGAAAGACUCAGCCUUCAUUCCAAAGGUUCUAGGGGAAUUUCAUGAUUCAGUGAUAGGAGGCCAUGCUGGUGUAUUAAAAACAAAGAAAAGAAUUUGCAAAUUGUUCUAUUGGCCCAAGAUGGGAGAGGAUAUCUAUAAGUAUGUACAGAGCUGCAAUACUUGCCAAAAAAUGAAGCCCUCAAAUCAGAAACCUUCAGGCCUACUCAUGCCCUUGCCUAUCCCAUCUACAAUUUGGAAGGAGGUAAUUAUGGAUUUUAUUAUAGAUCUUCCUAGGGUGGAGGGAAAAACAGUGAUCAUGGUGGUAGUAGAUAGACUAUCCAAAUAUGCUCAUUUUAGUGCUCUUCCUACUAAUUUUAAUGCUGUCAAGGUAGCUGAAAUAUUUCUAAAAGAUGUCAUUAAAUUACAUGGAAUUCCUACUUCUAUAGUGUCAGAUCGAGAUAGAAUUUUUACUUCCAAGUUCUGGAAGGAAUUACACAGAUUAGGUGGAACAAAACCGUCCUUCUCAUCCUCAUACCAUCCAGAAACUGAUGGCCAAACAGAGGUAGUGAACAGAACUUUGGAGAUGUAUUUAAGGUCUUAUUGUCAUGAAGACCCAAAACAAUGGUUGGGGUUACUACCUUGGGCAGAAUUGUGGUAUAAUUCAGGGUAUCACUCAUCACUUGGAAUGACUCCAUUUAAGGCAGUUUAUGGGAAAGAAGCUGUUGAAUUACCACACUACAAUGCAGGGGAAUCUCAAAUUGAAUCAGUAGACACCCUAUUGCAAAUCAGGGAAGAGACUCUAGAAAUUAAAAAAAAAAUCUAGCAAAAGCACAAGCAAGGAUGAAAUUACAAGCUGAUAGAAAAAGGUCUGAUAUCACAUUUAAAUUGGGGGAUUGGGUGUUCGUGAAGCUCCAACCAUACAGACAAACAUCAGUAGCUAUCAGGAUUCACAACAAAUUAUGCCAAAAAUAUUUCGGACCCUAUGAAGUGGAAAAAAUAAUAAACAAAGCUGCAUACAGACUCAAGCUACCUGAGGGAAGCAAGAUUCAUAAUACUUUUCAUGUCUCAAGGUUGAAGGCAUUCAUAGGUCCAAUUCCAGAAAAUUCGAGCAAAGGGGAUCCUGUAAUUUCUGUCCAAAACCAACCAAUUACAUACCCAUUAGCAAUACUGGACAGUAGAACUAUUUGGAAAGAAAAGGAGAAGGUAAAUCAGAUACUAAUUCAAUGGAAUGGAGCAUUACCUGAGGAUUCUUCUUGGGAGUCUAUGGCGGACAUGGCAGCGGCAUUUCCUUCUUUAAACCUUGAGGACAAGGUCGUCUCUGGAGGGGGAAGUGAUGAUACAAUCCCGAUCAGCUAUGAGGAAGUAUCAGAGAGUAUCCAGCAGGAGGGAAGUAGUGAAAUCGCGGAAUCCCUAACUGGGGAAAUAUUGGGGAAGAACGACGGUGGUUCUGAACAGCUCAACCGUGGUGAACCCGGCCAGCCUUCCAUAAGCAGCAGCAGACCGGGUAGGGAGAGGAAGAAGCCGGCCCACUUGAAAGAUUACGUAAUGGGCUGAGGGAGGAAUUGGCCCACUUGAAGAAUUUAAGUUUUUUAAAAAAAAAUUUGCUAAAGAGACCUUAAGUUUAAAUUAAAUGUUGUAAUAGUCAGUAGUAUAAGAAUGUUUUAAUCAUUGG